AACACAUAUACACCGAUACACGUCUACUAAACUACUAAUAAAUUACAAAAUUAUAUCUUUAUCACUGUAUAUGCUAAUAUAUUUUAUAGCAUAGCAUAACCAUAUAUCCGAUCGAUGAUAAUGCCAUCUGUGGUAAUGCUUAUAGCACUUAUAUUAAUAUAUCUUUAUCAUUUGUAAUUUAUUACGUCAAUCUUUAGUGCUCAUUCAACACCUGCUAGACAACUAACUGACAACGAUGCUUCUCAAAUGUGAAAUUGAAGAACCUCUCUCGGCUGCUCUCUUGGACCUAAUCAUUGCGAAUAAUUUUUUAAUUUAAAUUUAUUAUUUGGACAUCGCUGAGGAUUGCUCGAAUUAACGGAGCCAAAACAUCCGAUUUCUAAUUAUAUGCAGGUCCUGGUCCAGUUUAUAAAUUACCAACAUUAGUUGGCUACAACGGUCAUGAUCCAUCUCGAUAUAGAAAUCCAGC
rnacentral:misc_RNA from 1 species